UUAAUCGUCAACACAAGUGGCCACCACAAACCGCCGCUCGCCAGAGAAGUACAGGUGAAAAACCAGAAACUCAAAGGACUUGGCGGUGUCCCACAUCAACCUAGAGGAGCCUGUCCCAUAAUCGAUACUCCACGUUAAACCUCACCCACUUUUGCCCUUCAGCCUAUAUACCGCCGUCGCCAGCCUACCUAAUGAUAGACACACAGCAGGCAAAAUAGUCUUCACUAAUACGUCAGGUCAAGGUGUAGCUAAUAAGUGGGCCUCAGAUGGGCUACAUUUUCUAAACACAAGAAAACCACCACACGCACUAUGAAACAUAAGCUGUAAGGCGGAUUUAGCAGUAAGCUGGGCAAGACAGCUCAACUGAAAACUGCCCUGGGACAC
rnacentral:rRNA from 1 species